rnacentral:misc_RNA from 1 species
UCGAAGCUUAUACCAGCAAGCGUCUGAAGAACCCGCUGUCCGAUGCAUUGGCACGCGAAGCUCUCAGGCUUCUCGGUGGCAACAUCCACGAGGUCUGCCGUAACGGAACCAAUCGUGAGGCGCGUCACAAUAUGCNCCAUGCUCGCUGGAAUGGCGUUUGCAAAUGCGCCGGUCGCAGCCGUGCAUGCGCUGGCCUAUCCGGUCGGUGCGCGAUUCCAUGUUCCUCACGGGCUGUCGAAUUCUCUUGUGCUUCCGCAGGUCAUUCAGUUCAACGCAG